rnacentral:rRNA from 1 species
CCUACGGGAGGCAGCAGUGGGGAAUAUUGCACAAUGGGGGAAACCCUGAUGCAGCGACGCCGCGUGAGCGAUGAAGUAUUUCGGUAUGUAAAGCUCUAUCAGCAGGGAAGAUAAUGACGGUACCUGACUAAGAAGCACCGUCUAACUACGUGCCAGCAGCCGAGGUAAUACGUAGGGGGCAAGCGUUAUCCGGAUUUACUGGGUGUAAAGGGAGCGUAGACGGAUGUGCAAGCCAGAUGUGAAAGCCAGGGGCUCAACCCCGGGACUGCAUUUUAAACUGUUUGGCUGGAGUGUCGGAGAGGCAGGCGGAAUUCCUGGUGUAGCGGUGAAAUGCGUAGAUAUUAGGAGGAAAACCAGUGGCGAAGGCGGCCUGCUGGACGAUGACUGACGUUGAGGCGCGAAAGCGUGGGGAGCAAACAGGAUUAGAUACCCCAGUAGUC